CUUCACCGAACCGAGGAACAGCGGACGGUCGGGAUCGCGGCCCUGCCCGUAGGUCGCGAGCAGCGCCUGCGCCUC
rnacentral:antisense_RNA from 1 species